rnacentral:lncRNA from 1 species
GAUGCUUCCCAUGGUCACUCUUGCUUAUUUAUUUGUAUGGCACUCUUCCUCAGAGGAAUAGGGCUGGUGCACUGAAGGAAAAUCAGAGUACUGGUCCCUCAAAGUGUCAGGCUUGGCCUGCAGAGCUGCUCAUGUGGCCCCUACAGCGGCCUGGCCACCUCUUCAAGGACUCACGGGGCCAUGAAGUUCACACAUGGAUUGCUCUCCCCACCUACGCAUCAUCCUCCACCAUAUUUCACACAAGAAGUAGGGAAAUGGGCCCCUGAGCAAAGUGGCCAGGCACCGGCCCCUCCCAUCGGUACCCUCUGCAAUCCGCAGAAGAGCCCAGAGGUCUCAAGUGGCCUCCAAUUUCCCUACAAAGUAAGAUCCUGAGAGUUCUCCAGCAUGUAGAAUUCCACAAUGGGGGCGGGGUUGAGGGGGCAGCGGAGACAGCUCAGAUCUCCCCUGCAGGGACAAACGCGUCCCCUCGAAGGAAUCCACUUUGGCCCUUCUGUCCACAGCCACAUCUAAGAAAAUAAUUAGUUCACUCACUUUUUAUAUCUCUCCAAUUACAGUUUUAAGCAUUUAGGGUGUUGGUGUUUGAGUUUUAAAACUUGUUAGGCUCAAUUUAUGCCACUUAGUAAAACCUCUAUUCCAAAUGAAGCCAAAUUAGAACUAAAACACUGCAAGCAAUAAAAUGUGAGCGUUACAUCUGGGCUGGGUUGGCUUUUUGAUUGUUUGUGUAAAUGAAGCCUUCGGGAGCCUGUCUCAGGCCUGGGCAAGGGGAGCAAUUCCCUCAGGUCCCCCUGGAGGUCUGUUAGCUGGUUGGGGCCAGCCUUCUCCCUCGCUGAGGCUCAGGUCUGGAAGAGCAGGUUCAUGUGCAGCCAGGCGAAGAGCGAGCCUUUAAAACAGGUCACUGUAACCCUUGGCAAUGCCCUCCCCAUCGCUGACCCCUCAGCGGAUGGUAGAAGCCACAUGGUCUCCCCACAGCAACACGGCCAGCGCUUCCUGCUGGACGGCCAACAGCACCCUGGCAGGCCCUACGUCAGCAGGUGACAGCCACCCACUGCCACUGCACAGCGUACAAUAAAUAGACAUUGAAUAGAAUUGAACCAGCUGUAACCACGGACACAGUCGGGAAUAUCUCCUCCCCGCCCUUGCCAUGCAAUGCCUGAAAUAUGCCCCUGCCUCCAAUGGCCAUUCCUCUCUGCUCUGACUCUGGGGCCACCCAUCAAGGUGAAGGUGGAGCCCAAAGAGAAGGAGGAAAAGGACAUUCUGAGCUACUAAUUAGGCAUCUGGUGUGAGGGGAGGUGGCUGCCAAGCAGGUCAGAGAAGUUCCUAACUGAUGAGCCAAGGAUCUAAGCUAUGAGCUAGGCCUCCCUGGGGCCCUCAGGAGGUGACAUCUGGGGUUCCUAGGCUGGCCCUGUCUGUGCCAGGGGAAGAAGGCAGAGAAUACGGUGAGGACUGAGAGCUGGAGAGGGAAGAUCAAGGCAGCGGCGAUGGCCACAGUGAUGAGACAGUGACUAAGGGCCAGUGUGCGGUUUGCCAAGCAAUUUGGCUUGUCCCCAUGCCAACAAUAAAGGCCCAGUGUCUGGCAGGAGAUGGGGAUUUUGUGUGCAGAGGGACACCUUACGACUGACCCUGGCAGAGAGCCACAGUCAUCAGGAACAAGAGAGGAGAACAGAUAUAAGGGGGGAAAGGUCUCCUUUAGAGGGGCAGGACUGGCCUCAGGCUGCAGGAAGGGUGUCUGGGGAGGAUGCAAUGGAGUUGAAGAAAUUUCAUGUGUGGUUGGGGGCAGGGGUUGCCCUACUGAAGGAGUCUAUUAUGUUUGGAAUAAUCUCUCAAAGCAAGGGGAAAUAAAGUACAAUCAGUGGAGGAAACCUCUGGAACAAUUUAAGGGAAACUGGACAAAACCCCCCAGACUGUAAUAAAAUGGCAUCUGGAGUCCUGCUGGUUCCCAAGGACUCUCUACCACAGGCUGGGGUCUCUGGAAGCAGACGCUGAGAUGGAUAUUGGGGGUUAAGAGGAAUUUGUGAGGGAUCAGAUCCUGUGAAAGGAAGUGGGGGGCAAGCAGGACUUGGCAGAGCGGGUAGUCAAGCUGGGAUACAGGUCCAACAGAGUCUUGACUAACCUGGAGGAGAGAGUUCUGGAGUUCUGGAGAGUUCCCGGCCAAAAUGGCAAGCCCUUUAUUUAUUUAUUUAUUUAUUUAUUUAUUUAUUUAUUUAUUUACUUUGAGAUGGAGUCUCACUCUGUCGCCCAGGCUGGAGUGCAGUGGCGUGAUCUCGGCUCACUGCAAGCUCCGCCUCCCGGGUUCAUGCCAUUCUCCUGCCUCAGCCUCCAGAGUAGCUGGGACUACAGGCGCCCGGCACCACAUCCAGCUAAUUUUUUGUAUUUUCAGUAGAGACGGGGUUUCACAGUGUUAGCCAGGAUGGUCUCCAUCUCCUGACUUUGUGAUCCGCCCGCCUCGGCCCCCCAAAGCGCUGGGAUUACAGCGUGAGCCACCGUGCCCAGCAAAGGCAAGCCCUUUAUAACAGGCCCCCCACCCCACUUCAGCACCAGAUAUGGGCCACCCCAGGAGAGUGUGGCCUUGGCCGAGGCAUUCUUAAACGCCCAAGGCUUGACAGCUGGAGGCUGUCUGGAGACUACACAGCCUGCAGCUGGGCAGCCAGGCCUUCCACAAAGAGAGAUCUGGGCGGUGCCCCUCCAUGUCAG